rnacentral:tRNA from 1 species
GCUGUUAUAGCUCAGUGGUAGAGCACUUCCUUGGUAAGGAAGAGGUCACGAGUUCAAAUCUCGUUAACAGCUCCA